rnacentral:rRNA from 1 species
AACGAACGCUGGCGGCAGGCUUAACACAUGCAAGUCGAACGGGCGUAGCAAUACGUCAGUGGCAGACGGGUGAGUAACGCGUGGGAACGUACCUUUUGGUUCGGAACAACACAGGGAAACUUGUGCUAAUACCGGAUAAGCCCUUACGGGGAAAGAUUUAUCGCCGAAAGAUCGGCCCGCGUCUGAUUAGCUAGUUGGUGAGGUAAUGGCUCACCAAGGCGACGAUCAGUAGCUGGUCUGAGAGGAUGAUCAGCCACAUUGGGACUGAGACACGGCCCAAACUCCUACGGGAGGCAGCAGUGGGGAAUAUUGGACAAUGGGCGCAAGCCUGAUCCAGCCAUGCCGCGUGAGUGAUGAAGGCCCUAGGGUUGUAAAGCUCUUUUGUGCGGGAAGAUAAUGACGGUACCGCAAGAAUAAGCCCCGGCUAACCUCGUGCCAGCAGCCGCCGUAA